rnacentral:rRNA from 1 species
CUACGGGGGGCUGCAGUGGGGAAUAUUGGACAAUGGGGGAAACCCUGAUCCAGCAAUGCCGCGUGUGUGAAGAAGGCCUGCGGGUUGUAAAGCACUUUCGGUUGGGAGGACUGCUUCUAGCACUAAUAUUGUUGGAAGUUGACGUUACCUUCAGAAGAAGCACCGGCUAACUCCGUGCCAGCAGUCGCGGUAAUACGGAGGGUGCAAGCGUUAAUCGGAAUUACUGGGCGUAAAGCGCGCGUAGGCGGCUAGAUCAGUCGGGUGUGAAAGCCCCGGGCUUAACCUGGGAACUGCAUCCGAUACUGUCUAGCUUGAGUACAGGAGAGGAGAGUGGAAUUCCACAUGUAGCGGUGAAAUGCGUAGAUAUGUGGAGGAACACCAAUGGCGAAGGCAGCUCUCUGGCCUGAUACUGACGCUGAGGUGCGAAAGCGUGGGGAUCAAACAGGAUUAGAUACCCGUGUAGUC